rnacentral:rRNA from 1 species
UACGGAGGGGACUAGCGUUGUUCGGAAUUACUGGGCGUAAAGCGCACGUAGGCGGAUCUGUAAGUCAGGGGUGAAAUCCUGGGGCUCAACCCCAGAACUGCCUUUGAUACUGGCGAUCUCGAGUCCGGAAGAGGUGAGUGGAACUCCUAGUGUAGAGGUGGAAUUCGUAGAUAUUAGGAAGAACACCAGUGGCGAAGGCGGCUCACUGGUCCGGUACUGACGCUGAGGUGCGAAAGCGUGGGGAGCAAACAGG